GUGGUUGUAACUGAAUGGUAGAGUGCUUGCCUAACAUGUGUGAGGCACUGAGUUCAAUCCUCAGCACUACA
rnacentral:tRNA from 1 species